rnacentral:tRNA from 1 species
AAGGAAGUGGUAGAGUGGUCAUACGGAUGGCUUGAAACCAUCACAUGGGGGUUCGAUUCCCCCCUUUCUCG